rnacentral:rRNA from 1 species
CCUACGGGGGGCAGCAGUGGGGAAUAUUGCGCAAUGGGCGAAAGCCUGACGCAGCGACGCCGCGUGAGGGAUGAAGGUCUUCGGAUCGUAAACCUCUGUCAGCAGGGAAGUACGGUCACUGUGCUAAUCAGCAGUGAAUUGACGGUACCUGCAAAGGAAGCACCGGCUAACUCCGUGCCAGCAGCCGCGGUAAUACGGCGGGUGCGAGCGUUAAUCGGAAUUACUGGGCGUAAAGCGCUCGUAGGCGGUAUGUCAAGUCAAGGGUGAAAUGCCCGCGCUCAACGUGGGAACUGCCUUUGAAACUGGCAAACUGGAGUGUGGGAGAGGAGAGUGGAAUUCCAGGUGUAGGAGUGAAAUCCGUAGAUAUCUGGAGGAACAUCAGUGGCGAAGGCGACUAUCUGGCACAUAACUGACGCUGAGGAGCGAAAGCGUGGGUAGCAAACAGGAUUAGAUACCCCAGUAGUC